CAUGUCAUCUGAUAAAUAAAACAAAAAGCUGUUUAAAACCAUCAGCAAGCAACCAAGGCAGCUAGGACAUUAAGUGCCAAGGUCCUAGAAAGAAGAAAAUUCUUGUUAAAGAUGAGGACAGUGGUGCCCAGAAAGUUUGCUUACUUUGUUCAAGAACUUUUUAUUGAUAAAUAGAAGAAUUGAUAUUCCAGCUUAGGACUCUCCAGUUUCAAAUUAUGUAUUCUACCAGUCCUCGUCUGCUAAUUCAUGAAUGUGAAUUAGGCAGAUUACGCAACUGGUUCAGGUUUUAUGGAUUAAGAAGUCCAACAGGGUACAACAGAGGUGGCUUUUCUAUGCCUUAUAACGUCUGCGGUCUCAGAUGGAAGACUCAAAGAUGAGGAAGUGCAAUCAUCUAAAGACAGCUACCCUCCUAUGUCAGGAAUGAUAAUACUGCAAAAAUGUAGCAGUCUGAAAGCCAGGAAGAGAGCCCUUACCGGAAACCAACCAUAGUGCCACCCUGAUCUUGGACUUCUGGCCUCCAGAACUGUGAGAAAAUAAAUUUCUGUCAUAAAGUCACUCAAUCUAUGGUAUUUUGUUAUGACAGCCUAAGCAGACUUGUAUGUUAUAUAGCAAAGAUGA